UUCAGCAAGACGCUGGGUGCGCGCAACCAGAAACUCUCCACUUAUGAGAAGGAGUUCCUCGCGGUUAUGAUGGCUGUGGACAAGUGGCGACAGUAUCUACAACGCGGGCCGUUCGACAUCCUCACGGAUCACAAGAGUCUCUGCAAUUUGGGCGAGCAACACCUGGAGACAGACAUCCAACGCAAGGCCAUGUCCAAGCUCGUCGGCCUUCAGUUUCGCUUCCUGUACAAGCGCGGCCUCGACAACGGAGCCGCGGAUGCGCUCUCCCGG
rnacentral:rRNA from 1 species